rnacentral:rRNA from 1 species
CCUACGGGAGGCAGCAGUGGGGAAUAUUGGGCAAUGGGCGCAAGCCUGACCCAGCAACGCCGCGUGAAGGAAGAAGGCUUUCGGGUUGUAAACUUCUUUUCUCAGGGACGAAGCAAGUGACGGUACCUGAGGAAUAAGCCACGGCUAACUACGUGCCAGCAGCCGCGGUAAUACGUAGGUGGCAAGCGUUAUACGGAUUUACUGGGUGUAAAGGGCGUGUAGGCGGGAAAGCAAGUCAGAUGUGAAAACCAUGGGCUCAACCUGUGGCCUGCAUUGGAAACUGUUUUUCUUGAGUACUGGGAAAGCAGCAGGAAUUCGGAGUGGAGCGGGGAAAUGCGUAGAGAGGAGGAAGAAACCC